rnacentral:tRNA from 1 species
ACCCUUUUAGUAUAAUGUACAAAUGAUCUCCACUCAUUAAGUCUUAGGGCCCCCCUAAGAGAGGGUA